GAUGAACGCUAGCUACAGGCUUAACACAUGCAAGUCGAGGGGCAGCAUUGGAGUAGCAAUACUCCAGAUGGCGACCGGCGCACGGGUGAGUAACACGUAUCCAACCUGCCGCUUACUCGGGGAUAGCCUUUCGAAAGAAAGAUUAAUACCCGAUGGUAUAAAGAGUUCGCAUGUUCUCUUUAUUAAAGAAUUUCGGUAAGCGAUGGGGAUGCGUUCCAUUAGGUAGUUGGCGGGGUAACGGCCCACCAAGUCUACGAUGGAUAGGGGUUCUGAGAGGAAGGUCCCCCCACAUUGGAACUGAGACACGGUCCAAACUCCUACGGGAGGCAGCAGUGAGGAAUAUUGGUCAAUGGACGAGAGUCUGAACCAGCCAAGUAGCGUGAAGGAUGACUGCCCUAUGGGUUGUAAACUUCUUUUAUAAGGGAAUAAAGUGAGGGACGUGUCCCUUUUUGUAUUGUACCUUAUGAAUUAAGGAUCGGCUAACUCCGUGCCAGCAGCCGCGGUAAACACGGAGAGUA
rnacentral:rRNA from 1 species